rnacentral:rRNA from 1 species
GACGAACGCUGGCGGCGUGCUUAACACAUGCAAGUCGAACGGAAAGGCCCUGCUUUUGUGGGGUGCUCGAGUGGCGAGCGGGUGAGUAACACGUGAGUAACCUGCCCUUGACUUUGGGAUAACUUCAGGAAAAUGGGGCUAUUACCCGGUAUGAGCUCCUGCUGCACGGUGGUGGUUGGAAAGAUUCGGCGGUUGGAGCUGGUAUCGCGGCUUAUCCGCUUGUUGGUGGGGUAGUGGCUUACCAAGGCUAUGACGGGUAGCCGGCCUUAGAGGGUGACCGGCCACAUGGGUACUGAGAUACGGCCCAGACGCGAACGUGACGCAGCAGUGGAGAAUAUUGCACAAUGGGGGGAAGCCUGAUGCAGCGACGCCGCGUGCGGGAUGACCGCCUUCGGGUUGUGAACCACUUUCGCCUGUGACGAAGCGUGAUUGACGGUAAUUGGUAAAGAAGCACCGGCUAACUACGUG